GGCCUCAUCCGGUCUCGGCCUUGUUCUGGGCCUGGCGCCUUUCCCAUUGUUGGGGAAAGUGGUCUAGGAGACCAAGGCAGCGUGCUGGGUGGGAGAGAAUGAUUUGUGGCUUCUGAUUCUGACAUAUGUCGUUAAGGAGGGGAGGGAUGAGUGACCCUGUUUUACUUAUGGAGAACCUGGGGCCAGAGCUGUUUUCCCAGGGUGACACAGGCGGUGUAUACAGAGCUCUAACUGUCCUGUUCCAUCCAAAGGGGGAAAACCAAGAAGCACUUGUGAAGUUAACAUUUCAGAGACAGAGGAUCACUAAAAGGCUGAGACCUAAUCAUAGGACUGUGAUCACUCUUCUGUCCUUUGCCAUCUUACUACGAUAUUACUGUAGGGCCUACUAACUGCAGUUCCUCUUACCCAGUACCUCAUGUCUGAUGUCAAGAAGAAAAUUACAAGUCAUACUAAAAGGCAAAACACAAAGUUUGAAGAAAAAGAGCAAGCAUCAGACCCAGACUCAGAUAUGGCAGGAGUGUUAGACUUAUCAGACCGGGAAUUUAAAACAAUUAUAACUAAUAUACUAAGGGCUCUAAUGAAUAAAGUAGACAGCAUGCAAGAACCUGUGAAGCAGAGAGAUGGAAAUCCUAAGAAAGAAUAAAAAGAAAGGCUAGAGAUGAGAAACACUGUUCUAGUGAUGAGAAAUGCCUUUGAUAGGCCCAUGAGUGUAAUGGACAUGGCUGAAGAAAGAAUCUCUACGCUUGAGGAUAUAUCAAUAGAAACUUCCAGGACAGAAAAGCAAAGAACAAAGAGACUGAAAAAGUGAAACAGACUAUUCAAGAACUGUGCGACAACUAUGAAAAAAAAUAACAUACACAUAAUGGGGAUGCAAGAAAGAGAAGAGAAACAAAGAGAAGAGAAAGAAACAGAAAAAAUAUUUAAAAUAAUAAUAGCUUGAGCAACAUAGGGAGACCCCAUCUCUACAAGAAAAUUAAAAAAUUAGGGGUGCAUGGUGCACACCUCUGGUCCCAUCUACUCGGUGGGGUGAGGUGAAAGGAUCAUGUAAGCCCGGGAGGUCAAAUCUGCAGUGAGCCAUGAUUGCACCACUGCACUCCAGCCUGGGUGACAGAGUGAGACCCUGUCUCAAAAAAUAAAUAGAUGUGGUGGCACACACCUGUAGUCCCAGGUACUUGGGAGGCUGAGGCAGGAGGAUCGCUUGAGUCUGUACAGGAGUUCUGGGCUGCAAUGCACUAUGCCGAUUGGGUGUCUGCACUAAGUUUGGCAUUAGUAUGGUGACCUCUGGGGAAAGGCGGAUAACCAGGUUGCCUAAGGAGGGGAGAACUGGCCCAGGUCAGAAACGGAGCAGGUCAAAAUUUCCUUGCUGACCACACCUGUGAAAGGCCACUGCACUCCAGCCUGACCAACACAGCGAGACCCCACCUUUUAAAUAAAUAAACAAAAAAAGAAUAAUGACAGAGAUUUUCACCAAAUUAAUAUCAGGCACCAAACCAUAGAUCCAGGAAGCUCUGUGAACACCAACCAGAAUAAAUGCCAAAAAACUCCACCCAGGUAUAGCAUAUUCAAAGUAGAAAUCAAAGAUAAAUAAAACACUACUGGAGGCCAAGGCAGGUUGAUCAGAGGUCAAGGUGGGUGUAUCACUUGAGGUCAGGAGUUUGAGCCAGCCUGGCCAACAUGGCAAAACCUCAUCACUACCAAAAACACAAAAAUUAGCUGGACAUAAAUGGUGGGCGCCUGUAAUCCCAGCUACUUGGGAGGCUGAGACAGGAGAUUCGCUUGAACCCAGGAGGUGAAGGUUGCAAGGUUGCAGUGAGCUGACAUUGCACCACUGCACUGCAGCCUGGUGACAAAGUGAGACUCUUUUCCAAACAAACAAAGAAACAAACAAACAAAAACUAUUGAAAGAAGCCAGAGGAAAAAGCCACCUUACCUAUAGGGAGCAAAGAUAAGGAUAACAUCUGUCUUCUCCUCGGAAACCAUGCAAACAAGAAGAGUGUGAAGUGAAAUAUUUAACAUCUUGAGUGAAAAAAAUACACAACCUUGAAUUCUGUACACUGUAAAAUUAUUCCUCAAAACUGAAGAAUAAAUACAGACUUUCUCAGACAAACAAAAAUUGAGGGAAUUUAUUGUUAGUACAUGUGCCUUGUAAGAAAUACUGAAAGAAGUUCUUCCAAGGGAAAGAAAAACAUACAAGUCAGAAACUUGGAUCUAUAUAAAGAAAGAGAGCACUGAAGAAGGAAUGAGUGAAGAUAAAAUAGUAACUUAUUUUUUUAUUCCAAAUUGAUCUAACAGAUAACAGUUUGUUCAAAAUAAUAAUAGCAAGAAUGUAUUCAAUUAUGUAUUCAUAUAUGUGUAUAUAUAUCUACAGAAACAUAUAUACUUAAGUACAUUUAUGUAUAAGUGAAAUGAAUGACAGUAGUGAUAUAAGAGAUAGGAGGCAGGAAUUGGGAUUAUUUUGUUAUUAUA
rnacentral:lncRNA from 1 species